GCCGCGGUGGCGGAAUGGCAGACGCGAAGGUCUCAAAAACCUUUGGAGGGCAACCUCCAUGUGAGUUCGACUCUCACCCGCGGCACCA
rnacentral:tRNA from 1 species